rfam:Dipodomys ordii contig_22830, whole genome shotgun sequence.
GGUGGCUCAGUGGUAGAGAGCUUGCCUUGCAUGCAUGAAACUCUGGGUUCAAUUCCUCAGCACCA